CCCGACCUGAAGAGCCUAAUUUGACUCACAAAUGUCCCAUGAAUAAAGAACGCCCAGAUCCGAGGAAUUUCAUCAGUAUCAAAUGGAGCUUAAACAAGUUAGAGUAACAGGGGGUUACGCAUCCAGCUCAAUUUAGUUUCUAACAGCGCCGCGUACGAUUUGAGGGCGAACUAAACGUGUUUGAUAGAAGUGCGUUUCAAACUGAGGCCAAUUUUGCGAGCAACAGGACAUUCGUCCUCACAAAGAGCCUGGGAGGCUUGACAAUGCGCGCUGCAACAUCUGUAAGGCCCCUGGCUUUGCAGUGUCUUGUGGGUAAGUGUGUGUAUGUGUGUUUGUGUGUGUGUGUGUGUGGGCCCUGAACGCAGCUAUAAUGAUGUUUAACCACCUCCCUCGCUCGCUUUUGAGCACAUCGCCCCGCUGCGCAGAGAACCAGGUGCUGGUGGAGGAGGAGAAACACACUCAGACACCAGGAAAAAGCAAUAUGUGUGUGUGUGUGUGUGUGUGUGUGUGUAUGUUUGGAGAGCCGCAGCCUGAGAGAGCCAGAAAGUGGGGGAGCGCGAAAGGAGAGGAGGCCCAUUUCAAUAGACUGCUGAUUUCAGAUAAGUGAUCCCCUUGAAAAAGGAAAUGUGUUGGUUUUUUUCCCCUCCCCUCAGCAGUUUGGCCUGAAAGGAGAACCAUCCACCUGCUAGCAGCAUCAAUUGGCCUCUCGUGUGGCUUUUUCACCACUUCCCUUUCAGCCGCACGUCGCUCUCCCCCUCACGCCAUUGUUCUGAUUCGCCCGCACCAAAGAGAAGACCAGCUCCAAUCGGUGUGUGCUCUGCCCUCACGUCGCCAAUCUUCCCUUUCAGAUCAACCUCAGGCCAUUUAUGGCUUGAUUUCUCUUGGGCUGUGGAUGCAGCUGGGGACGGCGGGCGUGUUGCAGCUCUCGAAACCCUCCACAUCAAAGCUGCAGCGAGACGUGAUUUCCACACGAUUACACAGUUACAAAGUCAUCAUUC